UGCUUCUUAAAAACAAACAAAGAAUACAUUUUGACAAUAUUAUACGUUCAAUUUUAUUUCGCUUGAAAAGAUUAUUUUUGUUCGAUUUGAAGCACUACUCAAUAAGUAUAUCGUAAAAGCAUUCGACGAGACUUGGCCAAAUGGGCUGUCGCCGAUUUUCUGGCGGAAGGCACCAUUCAGGCGGUCCGCCUUCCCACCAUCACCCUGGCGGUCAUUGUGGAGGUAGACACCGUGGACAUGGACAUCCUCUUCCACCGCCCCAUCAUCGUCCUCAUGGCCAUGGUGGCCAUUUUUGGAAUGGAUGUACCCCGCCUCCACCUCCCCCGCCAAAUUAUCCACCUCCUUGGGCAUAUCCUUAUGGUGGUCAUUAUUGGCAGGGAUAUCCACCGCCACCUCCUCCUCACCACCACCCACAACCUUCUGGAUCUCCAGGAGGUGGGUGUCACUAUUGCGGAUGUCCAGGUGGCGGUCCACCUCAGAGUGGACAUCCCGGGAUCGAAACACCACAGGGCGAAACCCCGAACACCGAUCAACAUGGUGACAAUGCUUCCGGAAACACAGAGAGCACUCAGACCCCAAAUUCUGGAGUGGAAGUUCCUAAUCAAGUACCCGGCCAGAACAAAUACGAAAUCAUUGAUCUUAGAAAUCCGUGAUUAUAUUAAGUGUAUUUAAUGCAUUUAAAAAUAAGUUGUCCAGUUAGUUCGCUCAAAAAUAUAAUUUAUAAACUAUCGACAUAAAAUCCCUUAACGCAAACUAGUUUUUGAGUUUCAGGUAGACACUUAAUACACGUUUUCCCUAAAAACCAUAUGAAGUGGUAUCAAAAAGCAGGUAGAUUUUUUCCGCUACCUACCCGAACUUUCAGCUCUGGUAUAAAUAUCUCAGAUUUCUUGAAAUGACUUCAGUACUUAAAUACUGUCC